CCUGAGCACUGCUGAAAUCAGCGAUCAUGUUCUGGAUUUCCUUACGAUGCUCUUGUUUCAAGAUGUCUAGUUCUUUCUGGUGCUUGACUUUGAGGUCUUCUUCCAGUAGCCUGUCAAAAUGGUGUUAAAAAUUAUGCUGAUGUUUUGAAAAUAAUUGCUGAGUUUGGAUAAUAACAGAUCAGAAGACAUCACAAGAUGAUGAAAUGUUAAAAGACUUCCUUAAGGUAAUUGCCUGUUACUAUGGUGAUAAGGUGACAUAAAUGUUAAGUUUGUAAGAGUAUAAAGGGAACUUAUGAAUUAGUCUAUGAAAAACAGGGCACCCCAAAAGUCGUGGAGUAUGGAAGUUCAAAUAAGGAAAAGGGGGUGAAACCUUCAUAAAUGUGUGAACCCCAGUGGGCCUCAGCGUAAUACUUUAUAAAAGUUGUAUCCUGGCCUGCAUACCUUGGGGGAGACACCAGAUUUACAAACACUGGUGGUGAGGAUGAUGACUAACACUUCUUGUUUUUCACAAGGCAUGGUGUGGGUAAUGCAAAUACUAUGCGUUCUGUAUGGCCUCUCUCUCCUUUACCAGAGUGCAGGUUGUGUGUUGCUGUUUACUUUUAUUAACCAACCAGUUAUUACAGAAAGAGCACUGUAUAGUCUCUGUGGUGCACCAUGGGGUCCCCCUUCUAUUGAAAACCUCUCUACUGUAGUCAAUCUUGGGGCUGAACUCUCACAGAUUAAAGUAGGUGUAAACCCUCUCCUUGGGUUGGGUAAUUAGUUAAAGGAACCCAUAACUAUAGAUAAGACUUCAGGAGCUUCCUCUGGAAUUUAAAGCUGGACCCCACUGCAUGACUCUCCAGGGAAUGGGGAUGGCCAGCUGCUCAGAGAAGAGGCAAAUGAUCCUUUGGGCUGCAGGAUCUGAGCCUCAGCCAAGUUGCAUUUGUGUUCAAAGGGGUCCUGGCCCACAUGAUGCUGUUGGUAUUCUGGCUGUAAUUGGCUUGAAGCACCAGAGAAACACCAAGGACAACAGUCAAUCUUGAGGUUGAAAGUGACAAUAAUAUAUUAUAUGAAUUCCCUGUUAACAAUAUUUAUGUUUAGUUGUUUGAGGGAUCUGGGAAUUUAAGAUGAAGCUCUUUGAUACUGCAUUUAAUUUGACCAUGGUACCGCAUGAAAAAUACUUUACACUUGAUUUGAAAUCAAGAUUAUGGGACUAAUACUAUAAAUGUCAUUAAUGAUGUAAAUGAUCCCGUUGAGCAUGCCAGACUUUCACAUGUUUAUCUGACCCUCUCACACACAGCACCUCACUUGAUGACAACUGUGAGCUAAAAAAUUUAGGCCAUUUUUUACAAGUGUGGCCCAUGACACCUUAACAUAACAUAUAUAGAAUUUGCUCUGCUGCUUAGCAAUUAAAACUCUCAAUAACAGCAGUUAUAAUAACCUGGUGUAUACAAAUCUCGCUCCUCUUUGUGGUGGGCCUGUUCUGUGCUGCCACCCCCAACUUAUGUGAGACAUGACUGCAGACAAUAGUCAUCAGUUGGAGCUUCCAACUGAAAAACAACUUGCAGAAAAAAAGAAGGGAGAGUCAGUGCCCUGAAAGGAACAGUAUCAAAUUUACAUGCACAUAUGGCACCUUAAAUUUUAAAAUACUAUUACUGUCCUUUCCAAACAGGGCUUCAGAUCCUAGCUCCUCCAAUGUGUGAUCUGCAAAAAGAAAAUCCAGGGUACCUGUAAUGGUUGGCACAUGCAUUGCACCUCAUGCCAUGCUACCAAUUGCUUGUCUGCUCCAUUCUAUGAGUUAGCAAGGGGUUGAAAUUAAAUAACUGGUAUUAUUACCAGCAAUGACCAUUUGGGUCAUCCACUCUUACUCCUUGCAUUCUGCUACUGUAAUGAGAUAAUUUGAUCUACUUCCCUUAUCCUAAUACCCAGAUACUCUCACUGUUGAGAAUUUUUACACCUCAAUGUCUAUCCUGCAUUUCUCCUUUUUUAGCCUCAGGUCAUUGUUCCUUUUCCCUAUCAUCUUAUCAGAUUGUGAAUAAUUAUUUCCUUCAUGAACACAGGUUCUAAAUACUUCCAAAGUAACUGGAAGCACUGUUGAAAUUAGACACUGUGGUUUGCAUUUCUUUCUGUUGAUCUUGUUGAAAAGUCUCCAGUUUUUUUUAAUACUUGACUUAGUUUAAAGUCACCUUCAAGUAACUUCCAAAAUGGUGCAAGAAGAGGUUUCAUUCCUAUUCAUUAAUUAGUUACUGUCUGGUAAAGGCCAACAGAGUUACUCAGGCACUCCUGAAGGUAAUGAGUUUCUCAAUAUAUUCCCUGAGUUCUCUUUCUAGACUGUCCUAGCCAGAUUUGUAAAGGGCCUGUCAGGUGGCUGGUGUCCAUCUGUUGUACAAAUUGAGUAAUUAUGGACAAGCAUUCUAUACCAGUAGAGAAGCUUUUUGAAGAUGUGACUCUAGAUCCCUCAAUCUCUCGUCAUUUUCAAUACAACACUAGCAACGCUGAGUGAUUCUCAGGUAGUUCCCUUCCUCCAAAGAUCCCAUAGCAUUCAAAACACUUUACAAACUAUGAGCCAAACGAUCGCUGCACCAGCACAGGGAACCCUUUAUGCUCUAGAGCAGGAGAUAGCUUACACCCCUUGCCUGCAAAGGGGGUGAGACUGCAAGCACUGCAGCAGUAUCCAGUGCCCCAGUGGGACACCUCUGGGCCAUGAUCCUGUGCCCUAUUGCCCCUGCACAAUGGCUUAUGGCUAUGUUUAGGGAACACACACUACACCUUUUCCAGUCACGCAGUGUUGCCAUCUUCACUAGUGAGUGUGCUCUUCCAUCUGCCCAGGAGGCAAAUUGUCUGCUCCUGGCCUCUACAGGCACAAUGCCAAUAGUUACUGCCACUUCCCCUCUCCAGUGCAGUCAUGGGUCUCUCAGCCAUAACUGAGCCCCAUAUAUGCAGGGAUCACUUCAAGUAUCAUUCAGAAACAGUCCGUGGGAUGUCUUAACACUUGGCUGGUUACUAGCUGAGGAGCAGAGAUUUUUUUUUAACCCUGUGGGAAGCCCUUAUUUUGGCAGGCUGAGACUAGUUCUCAGUCAGACAUUUACAAUGAAUUUAGUGUGUAGGGCGUGGGGAAGUUUUGGACUGGUCACCCUUUAGUUCCCUUCAUUAUAAUAUGAAAGUAAGUAGCGUUCCCUGGUGGCUACAAAGAACACAUUUCUGUGUCAUGUAUUUAGAUGGAUGAAGCAGUAAACAAAAAUAUUUUCAAUGCAGCAGGGAAGGAGAAUGCUGGCUGCACCGUUAGGAACUGCAAAGAGUGAAGACCACUUUUGAAAAGCUCCAAGCCUAAAAUAUAAUUCUCUUUAGGAAGGAUAAAUUCAGAUCUCUCAAAGCAUUUGGAGGAAUAUUGAUGUUAGCAAUAUGCUGACCCUGUAUGAGGAACCUGUGAAGGGCAGUAAUAUAAGGCAGACCUGUGUUUCUUCUCCUUGUCCCAAAGCUGUGUAGACUCUUGCUUCUGUAAGUCCAUCUCUGGACUAAGCAGCUCCAUUGUGUCCUUUAGAAGCGAAUUCUCUUUCUUGAGCCCAGCAAUCUCAUUCUGACAUUUCUCCAGUUCCUCAUUUAGAAAUUUCAUCUGGUUUUGGUUACUUCCUUCCUAAGAAAAAUGCCAAAAUUAGCUAUUUUUAUCUGCUGAUUAAAUUUCUCACAGGAUUGCAAUUGGUUAUCAUGAUUGAGAGAUUCAGUUGUGAAUAAAACAAGUGAAACACAAAGUUUAUGAUGUACAGCAUGGUUUAUAUAGUUCAGAUGUUAUCAUGUCGCUUUCAAAUCCGGUCAUUCAGGACUGUUUUCUCUGUUCCUAGCAAACUGCCAGAAAUAAAACACCACCACCACCACCAUCACCACCACCAUCAAUAAAAGUUUAAGGAUAUGAGUCAAAACAACAGAAAACGUUCAAACAGAUUUUAGGAAUACUUUCAAUGAACAAACUUCUGUGGUCAGGAUCUUUUUAAAGGUGCCAGGAAGCUGCAUGACAUGAAUGGGUCUAUAAAGUAACUGAAUAUAAUGAGAAAUUAUCUGGCUAUAAUAUAAUCAAGGGAUUGGGUUCUAAAAUAUAUAUGUAUUCAUCUCAUGUAGUACAGACAGACACAUCCCCCACUAAAAUCUCAUACAUGCACACACAAGUCAAAGUUUUCAAACCUAGAUGCUUAAAGUUAUGUUCCUAAAUCUGUAGUUAGACACCCAACAAUAAACAUCAGUAACUGUCCUAAAUUUUAGAGGUGCUGAGCACCUGCAAUUCAUUAAAAUCAAUGGUACUCUUGUGUGUGCUGCACCUCUAAAAAUCAGGCCACUUAUUUUAGGUACCUAUUGUUAGGCACAAAAUGUUUGAAAAUUUGGGGCACAUUGUAUAUAAGGGAGAACAAGGAGCAAGUACAUUUAAACACAUGAAACGCUGUACAAUACCAAACACUGGAAUGGGGACAGACUCAGUUUAUAAGUUUCCCAUUGAAUAUAAGAAGAAAGCUACACAGACUCCUAGUCCGAAUGCUGCACUUUUGAUGGACUGAUCGCAUUGGUAUUCAAUUAAUCCCCUGAUAAGGGCUUGUGGAUUUACAAUAUCAAAUGUGAGUGCCGUAAGAUCCCCACUGCCACCGACAUACACAAUGAAUGUUGAAAUUAGUGAUCAUUUGGUUGAAUGUUUAGUUCUGUCGUAGAUCAUAUUGUCAAAAUGCUGCAUGAAAUACAAAUCUGCCCACCAAAAUGCUGAUAAACAGUGCUAAUGCCUUUUGACUGUGACUUAAAGGAAGGCGACCCCGUCUGUUUCUAAACAGGAAUAGUGUCAUUUAAAAACCUAAAACAGAGUUUUCACUAUCUGAUCAGUAACAUUGUAUGUCAAUGAAGUAAAAAUUGGAAGCUUGCCUGUUGCUUCUUCAAUGCUCUCACAUUCUUCAGCUCCAUCAGGAGUUCUUCCAUUUGUUUUUUGUGACCAGUGCAGGAUGCGUAUUGCUCCGACAGCUCCAUCCUCAGAGUUUCUAGCAACAAUAACAAAAGACUUAUCAAGGAGUGAAGGAGGUAAGAGGCCAGACAUAGGGCAAUGCACACAUCUAUUUUUGCAGUAGAAGAAGUUAAAGCAUUAAGUUUUGCCUAGACACGCAAUUGUGCCACCAUUCCAUCCACUGAAUAAGAUUGGAAAGAGCAGGAAGUUACCCCACAUGCUCUGUACAAGAGGAGUCUGUUUGGUCUGGUGGCAUAAAUCAUCUGUUAAAUAAUAACCACAGGUUAUUGUGCUUCCACAACAAGCCCUUAAUGCCAGAAUCAGUAGGUGACAUUCUAUAACCUAUGUUAUGCAGCAGUUCAGACUGAUGAUCACGGUGGUCUCUUCUGGCCUUAAAAUCUAUGAAUGCACCUACCCGGUCCCCUUUUAUUUAAUACUGGUGGUGCAUAGAGGAUUGUAAAGAAGUCCCACAUGUAGUAAGAGCAGUUCAGGGCUGAUAUAAAUGGCUCUAUACCAACCAUAGUUCCUGGCAUAGGAGGACCCUGGGACCAGGCUCGGGGGAGAGAGGGGAGCAGAUCAGAGCAGGAGGGGACAUGUUAUAUCGCUGAGCACUACAGAAAUUCUGGUCUGCACCACAGCCAACUCAAAUCACUCAAAAUCCUUAAAAAUCAAUGGUGUUGCAUCAUUGGGUAGAAUUUGGCCUAUUCUUUGUUUUACUUUAUAUUGGAAAGGUACAUUAAGAGAUAUUUCUGUAUACAUUACACUAAAACAAAGUGAACCAGAAUGUAAAUAUAUGAACAGUUCUCUAAAAUAUGAGAAGUGUUUAUACAGAAUGUAUUAUUUUCAUGAUCAGUUUUUAGGGUACCCUGGCAGUAUAACCUGGAAAGUAAAUGAAAUAUUAAUCUUUUAAGCUCAAAUUGCCUAGAGCUUAAACUUACAUUUGAUCUUAUUUUUCCAGCUGUGGUUGCAGGGGAUGAUAUCUUUAAGAAUAUUCAUAUUAUUCUUUUUUCAACAAGAAAGCCCCUUUAAUAGUGAGCUUGAAUAGUCUGGAACACUUCCUAGGGAAUGUUAAAGAUGAGUCCUUUUUCUUUGAAUUUAACACCUCCUUAGUGACCAAAUUAGAAUCUCACAUAAGGUUCUUACACACACUUCUGACUUCCCAGCUUCUCUUUUCUGUACAGCCAGCUACCAACAUCAGUGAAAAGCUGAUUUUCUAACAUCACAUUUUUUCAUAUUUCUGCAAAUGAAUAAGUAUUUUUUAACUUCACAUGAGCUUGGUUCCUCUUUUGGGCCCUUGUUCAGCAAAGCCUGUGCUUAACUCCUAGCAUGUGAGUACUCCUACAGGCUUGACUUUUUCUGCUACUCUCCUUUCACCUUUGGGUGAGAUUCACCACUUUACAGAGGGCCAGCAGAAGACCUCUGCACCACUUUAUCCCACCUUACGGACUUAGAGAUGUGCAGGCCUGCAGUAGCGCUUGGCACAAGGGUGAAUUUCCACCCGUAUGUCCAGUGUAGUGGAGUGUCCAUUUUUUAGUGUCAUUAGGCUAGUAGUUAAGUGGGUCUAAAUCAUUUUAUUAUACAAUAAAAUAUAUUGAUUUUUCUUAUGAUUUCAUAUGACAAACAACUUAAUUGUAAUUAAAAUAGUGUGUGCCCCACAAGUAUUGCUUUUUUAAAAGUAAAAAUGAUAACAUUUGCAUCAUUCAGCCUCACUUUUUCCCCACUUUCUUGCCAGGUGAAAAAAAAAACCCCAAACACUUAACUUAUGACCCAGUACCAGGUAAAUCACACUGGCUAGAAACAAUCAAGACUGAAGACUUUAUGCAAACAAGGGCUAUGCUGGCAAUUUGCCAUGAACCUGGGGUAUGUGCCUAAUUCGCAGAAAGUGGAGCAAAUUGAAGACUCUUAGCUUUAAGGUAUUGUGCAAAGAGACCACAGGUCACAGCACACAGUGCUGCAACUGAGCAUGUUAGGCUGAGAUAUUUGUGGAUCACAAUAGUAAGAUGAAGGCUGCCGUUGGCAGCAUCAUAGAACUCAGUGGGACACACCUGGCCCACAGCUCAUCAAUCCUGAUGUAAAAGAAACAAAGGAAAUCCCACAAAUUUCCAGCUAUCAUGUACUGAUUUAUUGUGUCUGCAAAGGCAGCUUUGUUAAACAGGCCACUGACAACUAGGAGCUAAGUUAACAAUAAGCAUGUAUGGCUAAAACUUUGGGAAAUACAGCAGGAACUGACAGAGCUGGGUUUGUAGGGCAUGGAAUCCAUGGAAUGACCAGAGCAUUUCUCAAAUCAUAAUAAAGUAGGAAGCUGUGUGUGACAUGUGGCUUGUUAUACCUAUCCAUGCAGCUUGUUGUUUUUGUGUCUGUUCAAGUUCACCGUGUAAUUCUUUCUUUGCCUUCUCUUCCAAAGCCUGUACUUCCAAUCUGUGAGCGUGAUGUUGGAUUUUGAUGCUGUCAUCAUAUUUUUUCUUCAAAUGUUCUUCUGCCUCCUGCAAGUAAGAUAAAUAUAUGUAGGGCCUAAUUCACCCCUUUGCUACUCCAUCUUUAAUGCAAGAGUGAAUCAGACCCUUCAUACACACAGCAUAUUUAAUUUGCAGCAGUAUCAAAUGUUGCUAUUUCAUCAAUACAAGAUUAGCAGAAGACUCAAGACAAAAUAAAACCAAGCAACAAAGGAACAGAAGUUUUCCAGACUUCUUAUAGUAGAAUUUGAGAGGUUUUCAAUGUUUGUGUCAACUGUGAAACACAAAUUUGAAGAUUGUACUAUUAGUCAUUAGAAAGGUAAUUUUUCUUCAGCUUCCAGUAAGGCCUCAGCAUUAUUGGUUAUUAGUAUAUAUUGGCCAAAACUUGCGGUCCUUACUUGGUCCAUACUUGGACCAAAAAAACCUGCCCUUGUCAGUGAAAUUUUGACUGAGUCUAGCCUGCAGGAUAUGGCACUAUGUGAUUGGGACAUUCUGAGGGCCAAAUGCUCCCCUAAAUUAGAUCUGACUUCAUUGUGGUUUUCCAAGUGUCCAAGGCAGAAUUUGUAAACAAAUGGUCUAAGUUAAAUUCCUCCUGGGAUGGUUAUACCAUGUAUAGUAGAACCUCAGAGUUACGAACACCAGAGUUAGGAACUGACUGGUCAACCACACACCUCAUUUAGAACUGGAAAUACGCAAUUAGUCAGUAGCAGAGA